GGGUCAGUAGGUUGGUCGUGCCACCGGUACGUACUGGUCUCACUGAUUCCUCCUUCCUGAAGAACCGUAAUGCCAUUAAUUCGGUGUUGCGGGGAAACAGGACUGUUACUUUGAAAAAAUUAGAGUGUUUAAAGCAAGCUAACGCUUGAAUAUAUUAGCAUGGAAUAAUGAAAUAGGACGAUCGAUCCUAUUUUGUUGGUUUCUAGGAUUGACGUA
rnacentral:rRNA from 1 species